GUGGUUGUCUGCAUGCCCCUGAUUUCACACUGCAGCAUCCACCUUUGAUGCCAGAGCAAGAGACACUUAAAGAUGGUCAUGACCCGGUGCAGUGGCUCAUCCCUGUAAUCCCAGCAUUUUGGGAGGCCAAGGUGGGAGGAUCGCUUGAGCCCAGGAAUUUGAGACCAGCCUGGCCAACACAGCGAGACCCUGCCUCUACAAAAAAAAAAAAAAAAAAUUAGCCGGGUGUAAUGGCAUGAGCCUGUGGUCUCAGCUACCUGGGAGACUGAGAUGGGAGGAUCGCUUGAGCCCGAGGCUGCAAUGAGCUAUGACUGCACCACUAUACUCCAGCCUGGGCAACAGAGCAAGACACUGUCUCUAAAACAAAAAAUAAAGAUGGUCAGAGGGUGGCAGUGAGGGCUGGUAGACAGAGCCCUGACUUUGGGCUCAGACAGACCUCAAAUCCCAGCUCUGCCACCUCCCACCCUCUGUCUUUUCAUCUGCAGAAUAGGGGCAGUAAAGCUGACCCCGAAGAGCUGCUGGGAGCCUCGGUGAAGAAAGAGAUGAGAAGCACCAACCCUGGGCCUGGCACUCAGUAGAUGCUCCUAAUCAGCAUUUUCUUUUUUUUUUUAAGACAGAGGCUCGCUCUGUCGCCCAGGCUGGAGAGCAGUGGCGCGAUCUCAGCUCACUGCAACGUCAGCAUCUGGCAGGGCAGGCACACAGUUAAGAAAACACCCACGAGGCUUUGAGGAUCUUGUGACGCUUACCAGACAGACACAGACGGUGCAGUUCUCAUUGGGAGGUGAAAACACAUCCCCUUCAGCUCGGACGACACCACUGUGAAAACAGCCUUUGAAGGACAAAUAGGAGGUAGAGGCAUCAGACCUCUUCAAAGAAGAGGAAACUUGAGGUCUCGCUGCUUCUCCAUGCUUAAUGUACCUGGAACAUUCUCUCACUGCCCUAGGUGUCCCAGGAGUGGUAGAUUCAGGGUACUCUGACUGUGUGGUCCUGCAAGGAUCAGCCGUGGUGGCCCCAGAAGGGUCCAUUCAUGUCUCACAAACCCACAACUGUCUGGAGAGCACAACAUUUUCUUCCCAGAGGGCAGGAAAGGCAGCCUGGUUUCAAAACCUGAGGCCAGGUGCAGUGGCUCACACCUGUAACCCCAGCACUUUGGGAGGCCAAGGCGGGCAGACCACAAGGUCAGGAGUUUGAGACCAGCCCGGCCAACAUGGUGAAACCCCGUCUCUACUGAAAAUACAAAAAUUAGCUGGGCGUGGUGGCGUG
rnacentral:lncRNA from 10 species